AAUAGAUACCCCGGUAGUCCACGCCGUAAACUAUGGAUGCUAGCUGUUAGAAGUAUCGACCCUUCUAGUAGCGAAGCUAACGCGUUAAGCAUCCCACCUGUGGAGUACGGCCGCAAGACUAAAACAUAAAGGAAUUGACGGGGACCCGCACAAGCGGUGGAGCGUGUUGUUUAAUUCGAUGGUAAGCGAAGAACCUUACCCAGGCUUGACAUCCUACUAAGGCUUCCGAAAGGAAACUGUGCCUUCGGGAAAGUAGUGACAGGUGUUGCAUGGCCGUCGUCAGCUCGUGUCGUGAGAUGUUUGGUUAAGUCCAUCAACGAGCGCAACCCUUGUAGUUAGUUGAAUUUUUCUAGCUAGACUGCCCUGGUAACAGGGAGGAAGGGGGGAUGAUGUCAGGUCAGUAUUACCCUUACGUCUGGGGCUACAAACACGCUACAAUGGCCAGUACAAAGGGCAGCCAACCCGCGAGGGGAGCAAAUCCCAUCAAAGCUGGUCUCAGUUCGGAUAGCAGGCUGAAACUCGCCUGCUUGAAGCUGGAAUCGCUAGGUAAC
rnacentral:rRNA from 1 species